UUUUAUUUGAGUGUUUUUGGCUCAAAGGAAAAAAUAUAGGAGUUACAGACCACUAAUUGAAAAAAAAAAGAAGAUUUAGGAGUGCUAAUUUGUUUAUAAAUAAAAUAACACACUUUCUGCGGACUUGUCAUACCCCAUAUUACUAAUAUAUGCAAUCUUAAGAUUCGAUUUUAGCAAUAAAAUAGCUGGUAAAUAAUUUUUCCCAAAAAUGGUAUUUUUUCGAUAAUUUUCCCAGACUAUCAACAAAAUCCAAGAAACCGAAGCGCCAACCCAAAUUCUGAGCAGUCUCAACAUAAUAAGGUUAAUAUCCCCAAGAAUCGCGCGGUGUCGAAAUGAAAUUGCGACUGUCGAAAUGAAUUAGAAUCAGCGGUGGGAUCACGAUCAGUAGAAUGGUAGAAUGCUGACGUCACAAAAAUAAUUCUACAAUCGACAAUUUUGGUAUCACGUUAACACGCUUGGGAAAGUAGAAUGGGUGCUCGGCAAUGUUCGGAUAUUCUACUAGCCGAGUUAAAAAUAUCGCUUCUUCUUCUUAAAAAUAUUGCCGUUUGACGUGUGGUUGUCUUUAUUUUGUGGUGGUUGUAUUCAAAAAGCUAACCUAAAGAUUAUUAUUUGUAUUUGUGAUUAUUUGGAUUAUUUGCAAUUUGUUUAUUUUUGUCUUGCGUUGUUUGGAACUAUUUUAUUAGAAAUCACUAAAUUUUUGGAUUUUACCUGUGACUAGGGAACAUUGUUAUAUAAAGGUAUUUUUAUGCAUGUGAUCCAGACUUAAAAAUUUUAAACAUCGAUGCUAGAUGGGGAGGUGCAACACAUGAUGCUUCAUAUGGAGAAACUCAAAUGUAAAACUUUUUUGCAGCAGAUCGUUUAAAAUAGAGAUCAAAGCAUUUUCCAUUUCUAUUCUGGCAAAGAUUACUUUCACUUCUUAGUUAUCUUUGCUGGAAGGUGAAUCUUUAUAUCUUAUUAUGAAGUAUUUUGAACAUAAAUAAAUAAAUAUCUUAAAGAAAUGUUUAUUUAAAGUUUCAUAAUAAUUUUUAUAAGUAGUUUAAUAUUAUUACUUAUUUUUGCACUAGAAUUCAUAAUUGUAAAGCUUCAUUGACUAAUGGCCAGUUUCACCAAAGAUGAAUAGUAGUUUAUUCGAUGAAUAAAAUUAUUCAACUGAUAAAACUGACACAACUAUGUUUCUCUAACGUCAAAUAGUACUUAUUUUAUUUAUUUAUCAAAUAAAUAUUUACUCUUCAAAUGAAUUGACGAGUUAAUCUCACUUUAAAUAUCUAUAACAAAGAAAAUUCGUCAAUUUAAUUUUAAAUUAUCAAACUAUUCACUGAUUUAUUUGUUGUUGGUGAAACUGGCCAUAGAGAGUAAAAUUGCAUUAUUUUUCAAUUUACAUAAAUUUGUGGUUUAUUUGUGAUUUAUUCUUUGUUCUCAUUUUAGUCUUGGUAUGAAACAAUGUUAAGAGAAUACUGUGUGCUUUUUCAGUCCUAUGAAAGAAAAUGUUUUGGAUGUAACAGAGAAGUACUACAACUUUGUUAUGAAGAUUUGUCUUUAUGUUAUUUUUAUAAUGUUCAUGGAUUAUAUUUGUUUUUAUGUUUUCUUCAGUUUAAAUAAAGUUUAUGUUUUACCCA
rnacentral:lncRNA from 1 species